GUUCUGUGCUGCUUGAUGGCCCUUUCAGAUACGAAGCGAUUUGCGCUGCGCUUACUGGGGCUCAGCGCAAAACCGCAAAAGUGAGACUAUUUUGAACUUUGACUGCGGCGUGCGCACGAGGUCGCCGAGCAGUGCGCUGUGCUGCGCUUGCGCUUUGCUCGACGAACAAGCCUCUGAUGGGUUUCACAGCGCAGAAGUGCUAUCGUCGCAGUCUGUCUGAAAGGCCCAUGACGCGGCUAGCGGCAAAUAUAGACCUGCUACCUAUUCUCUGCGGAGCGGAGCGGAAAGCCGCUUCUGGGACGCGCUGCGGCCGCGUCUGGUGGACUCACAAGCAUUGACUAUGCGGCUUCGGCGCCGAAGCUCAAAAUGCUGUGAACAGGAACGGGACAGCACUUUGCGAUAUUAUAUGUUACCUUACAAUUCUGACACAUGGUGCACUUUUUAUUUUUCGUUUUAUUACUUUCCAACUGCCUGGUUUAUACAUCUUUCAGGAUCUCGCCCUACAGAGUGGAUGAGAGGCGGAUUUGCCUGAUUUUUCUCUCACUUCCGGGUUUCCCCUGGUAACACCUGUAGGUACCCAAGUACUGCCUGCCGUGGAGGUUCCAGAUGUUUGUUUUUUUUAUUGAAAAUGCAAGAUUUACAGACAGACAUGGCUGCAUAUAAUCAGUUUCUUCAAAAUAAAGAUACGGAGAAAAUAUA